AGGAUGAACGCUGGCGGCGUGCCUAAACAUGCAAGUCAUACGGGCUACCUUCGGGUAGCCAGUGGCAAACGGGUGAGUAACACGUGGGAACGCGCCUUGGGGUGGGGAAUAACGCUGAGAAAUCAGUGCUAAUACCGCAUAUGGUCUAACGACUAAAGCAGCAAUGCGCCCCGAGAGCGGCCCGCGACCGAUUAGCUAGUUGGUGGGGUAAUGGCCUACCAAGGCGGUGAUCGGUAGCUGGUCUGAGAGGAUGGUCAGCCACACUGGGACUGCGAACGGCCCAGACUCCUACGGGAGGCAGCAGUUAGGAAUUUUCGGCAAUGGACGAAAGUCUGACCGAGCGACGCCGCGUGGAGGAUGACGCCUUUCGGGGUGUAAACUCCUUUUCUGCGGGAAGAUAAUGACGGUACCGCAGGAAUAAGCACCGGCUAACUACGUGCCAGCAGCCGC
rnacentral:rRNA from 1 species